rnacentral:rRNA from 1 species
CCCUUAGAUGUCCUGGGCCGCACGCGCGCUACACUGAGUGUCUGCGAUACGAGUCUGCCUGGUCCGGCAAGGUCUAGGUAAUCGCUAAAAGACACAUCAUGCUUGGGAUAGAUUAUUGCAAAUAUUAAUCUUGAACGAGGAAUUCCUAGUAAGCGCAAGUCAACAGCUUGCGUUGAUUACGUCCCUGCCCUUUGUACACACCGCCCGUCGCUACUACUGAUUGGAUGUUUAAGCGAGGUUCUCGAACUGCUAGCGACUUAGCUUCGGUGAGGUCGCAGUGUGGGAAGUGAACCUAGCUUUGGUGUCUAGAGGAAGUAAAAGUCGUAACA